rnacentral:rRNA from 1 species
AUUGAACGCUAGCGGGAUGCUUUACACAUGCAAGUCGAACGAGUGGCGGACGGGUGAGUAAUAUAUCGGAACGUGCCCAGUAGCGGGGGAAAACUACUCGAAAGGGUGGCUAAUACCGAAAAAUUGGACCGGCGGAUAUCGGAUUAGCUAGUGGGGGGGGUAAAGGCUCACCAAGCCAAAGACCCGUAGCUGGUUUGAGAGGACGACCAGCCACACUGGGACGGAUACACGGCCCAGACUCCUCCGGGAGGCAGCAGUGGGGAAUUUUGGACAAUGGGGGAAACCCUGAUCCAGCCAUCCCGCGUGUAUGAGAAGGCCUUCGGGUUGUAAAGUACUUUUGGCAGAGAAGCGGUAUCUGCAGAAUAAGCACCGGCUAACUACGUGCCAGCCGCCGCGGUAAUUC